UUUAGAAGCUUUUCCUUUCCUAGUUAUUAUCAUCCUCAUUAUGUCGAUUUUCAUUUUUAAUUGACCCAUAAUAAUUGUGCCUGUUUGGGGGUACAGUGUGACAAGUUGAUGAUGCAUGCUAGUUAGCAUUCCACCCCAGACACCACCAUUUCUUUCUGUGGGGCUCGGGGAUCAUCUUUACUGCGGGUGUACUUUAACUCCGGGAUCCUUUUUGUUCUUUCUUUCAUAGAAAAAAAAAAAUGGACCUGUGCUCUACCAACAGUAAAACCCACCCGCUUCAGUGUACGAUUUGGUGACUCAGGCAAACCACACAGCCUGUAACCACCCCCUCAGCUGGGAUUCAGAUCCCACCCGAUCCCUGCGCACCCCGUGGCCAGCAGUCCCUGGCCCUGCACCAGCCCCUGGCCACCACCGGUGGCUCUCCUUCUGCCUUUUUCCAGAGCCCGGUCAGCCCUCUGCAUCUGAGG
rnacentral:lncRNA from 1 species